UGGCUUCUCAGCUUGCUCACCAAUUUUCCUAGGCUUCUCAGCUCGCUGACCGACUUUUGAUGCACCAUCGAACCCUGUAUCCAAUUCCAUUCCCCCCCGACUUCUCAGCUCGCUCACCAAUAUUUGAUGCACCAUCAAAGCAUGCAGCCGAUGCUGUACCACGUUUUCCAGACAGUCCGUUAUUCCUAGCCUCUGGAAAUGCCAGCUCACUAAUUUUUGGUGCACCGUCGAAGCACGUAGCGGAUUCUGCACCACAGUUUCCAAACAGUCCUUUAUUCCUAGCCUCUAGAAAUGUUAACUCACCAAUUGCUGACUACUCAUGCAUUCCUAGCAUUUGGAAAUGUCAGCUCACCAAAUUACAGUGCUAAUGCACCUCAACAAUCUAAUUCAGAUGACAGGGAACGCCGACCAAACCUGAACUUAUAAAGGAUAAGCUGGUUUCAGAAGCAAGCCAAAGUUCGAUCUUUAUUUAAAAGCCUGCUUUCUUUAGAGGCUGUGUCGCAUGGUGGUUUGUACUGAACCCCUGCCUUCGUGCAUUUUGAGUCGGUGGCUUUGUGCUGUUAUUAAUCCACUGUAUCGGAUGUUGUAGUGUCGCAAUGCCAAAUGUAAUUUCUGAUCUGCUAAUGGUUGAUCUUUAAUAAAUGGGAUGGUUGCUAGAAAAGGUUAGAGAGUAUGAAAUUCUUCAACUGAGAAUCUCUUUU